CAUAAUACUUACUUCCACCAACAUACUCCAUCUCAACCUCCAGUCCCCCCAAAACCAGACCCAAAGGCCAUUGUAUUUGAAUUUCUGUCGCCUUCCCCAGCCGGUAACAAUUCCACUCAUACAGCCUCUGGAGACAGAUAUCUUUUCCCAGCAAAUACCAUCCUUGACUAUUUCCCCGGAGGUACAACCGUGAUUGCAUCAUUUCUGAUCAUAAAGAAAAUUGAUCCUUCCGCUCCGCCGCCAGAUUUGUCUGCCAAUAAUUUCGGAAAAAGCAAGGCGAAAAAGUCAAAACUCGCCUCCGCAAUAGGAACCACACCACCUCCAGAUACAUCACUGCAGAGCCCUGUCCCCGCACCCAAACAAGGAACCACGGAUCCAGCCACCCAGCAUUCUCCAUUUGAAAAGCCGAUUUCCACAACCACCACCGGCCCCGAGAUACAGACACCAACGACGACAACGGCAACGACAACGACAACAGAAGGAAUACCUUCUCCUUCCAAACCAAAGACAAAAGAGUAUUACCAACCCGUAACUAUACGCCUCCACGCGAGCAACCCGCGCACCCUCGAGCCCUUAGCUCGGGUUGUCAACCCGCCCGCCGAAGUCCGCAAAUAC
rnacentral:sRNA from 2 species